rnacentral:rRNA from 1 species
CCUACGGGUGGCAGCAGUGGGGAAUAUUGGGCAAUGGAGGCAACUCUGACGCAGCAAUGCCGCGUGAGUGAAGAAGGUCUUCGGAUUGUAAAGUUCUGUAAUCAGGGAAGAAGAAGAUUACGGUACCUUAGGAAUAAGCCGAGGCUAACUAGGCGCCAGCAGCCGCGUUAAUACGUAGGAGGCAAGCGUUUACCGCAAUGACUGGGCGUAAAGGGAGCGUAGGCGGUAUGUUAAGUCGGAAGUGAAAUCCUUGGGCUCAACCCCGGAACUGCUUUGAAUACUGACGGACUUGAGUGUAAGAGGGGAGAGCGGAAUUCCAAGUGUAGCGGUGGAAUGCGUAGAUAUAAGGAGGAACACCAGUGGCGAAGGCGGCUUACUGGAUUAUAACUGACGCUGAGGCUCGAAAGCGUGGGUAGCAAACAGGAUUAGAUACCCGAGUAGUC